rnacentral:rRNA from 1 species
CCUACGGGUGGCAGCAGUCGAGAAUCAUUCACAAUGGGGGAAACCCUGAUGGUGCGACGCCGCGUGGGGGAAUGAAGGUCUUCGGAUUGUAAACCCCUGUCAUGUGGGAGCAAAUUAAAAAGAUAGUACCACAAGAGGAAGAGACGGCUAACUCUGUGCCAGCAGCCGCGGUAAUACAGAGGUCUCAAGCGUUGUUCGGAAUCACUGGGCGUAAAGCGUGCGUAGGCUGUUUCGUAAGUCGUGUGUGAAAGGCGGGGGCUCAACCCGCGGACGGCACAUGAUACUGCGAGACUAGAGUAAUGGAGGGGGAACCGGAAUUCUCGGUGUAGCAAUGUAAUGCGUAGAUAUCGAGAGGAACACUCGUGGCGAAGGCGGGUUCCUGGACAUUAACUGACGCUGAGGCACGAAGGCCAGGGGAGCGAAAGGGAUUAGAUACCCGAGUAGUC